CUUUAUGGCGGGUGGUGCGUGGGGCCGUGAGGCUCGCCGACCCUUGGGCCGGUCUUCCAACCGCGCGCCGUCCGCCACCUUG
rnacentral:antisense_RNA from 1 species